GAGUCUUUAUCCGGUCGUUGUCGUAUGCGGAGAGAGAGGAAGUAUAAAGUAUCUGAUGGUAUUGCGGCAAGUCUACGACAAGCUAUAUAUUUAUGUAAGAAGAAACGGACGUAAAAGUGAAUAAAAAACCAAUAUCGGUGACUUUCUACGGACGGAUUUGCCGGCUCUUUCAAUCCCAUCACAGCUGCCGCAUUCGACUACGGAAGUUGGAGAGCUGAAAUAAGUGGAGCCUUGGAGCUCUUGGUGGCAAACGACAACCGCUGAAUUAAUAAGGGAUCACCAAAGUGAAUCAUCUUUUAGUAUCGUUUUACCCGUUGGCUGUCAUCGACACGGUCUCUGCCCAACGAAAUCAACGUGGUGUUGACAUAUUCAACCCGUUCAGCUCGAAUCAUCUGGAUGCCUAGAAAACCAGAUCGUCGUUACUACAUAUGUACUGUAAUGACUGAGAGGAUGCGGCCUAGUUGAACCAAAAAGACAUCGGCACGACGACGACCACGACGGGUCUGCAACACGAUCGACAAGGAUCAUCUAUUAUUGUUGUUGGUAUGAUUUUUUUGUAAGUUGGCUGCCACGCAUUUUUCUCCCCAUGUUAGCUCCUUGACGGUGCGCGAAAGAGCUUCUAACACAUGCUAAACAAAUUACCUGAAUUUCAUGAUUCAAAAUGUUCAUGCUUCGCUUGAGGACCUAGUUAGUAGCUACCAAGUUAGUGAUUACUCAUAUCCAUGGACAUUAGUUA